rnacentral:rRNA from 1 species
CCUUAAAUGGUAAAGCCGCGAAUGGCUCGGUAUAACAGCUACGGUUUAUUAGAUUUUAGUUAUCUACUUGGAUAACUGUGGUAAUUCUAGAGCUAAUACAUGCACGAAAGCUCGGACCUUACGGAAAGAGCGCAUUUAUUAGAUUGAAAACCAAUCGGGCCCUCGUGGCUCGUCAAAUUGGUGACUCUGAAUAACUAAGUUGAUCGCACAGUCAUAGUACUGGCGACGUAUCUUUCAAAUAUCUGCCUUAUCAACUUUCGAUGGUAGGUUAUACGCCUACCAUGGUUAUAACGGGUAACGGAGAAUAAGGGUUCGACUCCGGAGAGGGAGCCUGAGAAAUGGCUACCACAUCCAAGGAAGGCAGCAGGCGCGCAAAUUACCCAAUCCCAGUACGGGGAGGUAGUGACGAAAAAUAACGAGAUAGUCCACUAUGUGGCCUGUCAUCGGAAUGGGUACAAUUUAAAUCUUUUAACGAGGAUCUAUUAGAGGGCAAGUCUGGUGCCAGCAGCCGCGGUAAUUCCAGCUCUAAUAGCGUAUAUUAAAGUUGUUGUGGUUAAAACGCCCGUAGUUGAUUUUUCGACUUUGGAGCGCGGUAUCUCGAAAGAGUUUCAACUGCGUCUGCCGAGUCUUCUCUUCUUGUUUUCUAUGGAUGCUCUUCACUGAGUGUCCUUAGUGACUUGAACGUUUACUUUGAAAAAAUUAGAGUGCUUAAAGCAAGCUUCAUCGCUUGAAUAAAGUGCAUGGGAUAAUGGAAUAGGACUUUAGUCUUAUUUUGUUGGUUUUAGAGAUUAAAGUAAUGAUUAAGAGGAAUAGACGGGGGCAUUUGUAUUGUUGCGUUAGAGGUGAAAUUCUUGGAUCGCAGCAAGACAAACAACUGCGAAAGCAUUUGCCAAGAAUGUUUUCAUUAAUCAAGGACGAAAGUUAG